UCAAACUCCAGACUCUAUCGAGCAACCUCCAGAGAGUGUUGCUUGGGAAGGUGAUGUGUACUCCCAAGUAAUGGGCCCUGAAAGGAAUGGUCGAAUGUGUGGGGUAGGACUUGGUCCAACUGUAACAAGUUUAUGGAGGUCAUCAGCAUUUGAACAAGGAGAAACUUCAAAUUGCAAUGCAGCAACUGAUGAAACUAUCCAAAAAUUAAAGGAUGAAAUGAAAUUGAUGGAACAAAGACAUGCUGAUGAAAUGAACAAUAUGAAAUCUGAACUUAAAUUUUUCAGAGCAUGUAUGAGUAAGAUAUUUCCUUCUGAAUUUGGAACUUCUGGAUCUAAUGGAGCAUCCAAUAGAGAGGUUCCUGAUGCAUCCAGUCCUCUUGAUAAAGAAUGAGGGUUUGGACUUUGGUACUUUGGGCAUGGUUAAAAAUUCAAGGUCAGAUUAAAAAUGAUAACUUUCAGUUGUGAAGACUUUGCAACAAUGUUUUGUGUUCUAUUUGGGAUGCUUCGGAGAAGAUAUUUAUUAUGAGACUAAGCACCAGUGAAAAUGAUUCUAUUUUGAAUUUUCUUUAUAAUAUUUGGCUACUCAAUGUUAAGAGUUAUUUUGUAAGUUUUACCUUUUAUGAUGUCAUGAAUUAAAAAAUUACCUUUUAUUUUACAUAGAAUUGAUUCCUUUC